CAGGGAUGUGUAAAUACCCCAUUUAGAGUUUGCUCCUGGCAUUUUUUGUAAAUAAUGUGAGAGUUGGCGCUGGAGCUGUUGUAUAAUUCUCCUAACCAGAGCUGCACCAGAGCACAGGCAGGGCACACCCGACUCUGGUGGCCUCAGUUUGAUGCAAACCUGAAGUCUGCUCCAGUUCGUUUUCUGUGUAUUAGGCUGGAUAUGUCUUGACCACUCUCUUGGGAGGUGUCAAAGUUAAAAAUCAUUGUUUUAUAAUUAGCAUCAAUAUAAUUGACACAAGGAAUGUUACAUGGCCAUGUGCAUGCAGCCAGUGGAGACAGAAGUGUGCUUCCCUGCUGGUAUCUGUGCCCUCUCCCUGUCUACAUGUGACUAUCGACCAGCUUCUCGGGUUAUUUUGAAAUCACAAUCCUAUAGUUAAAAUAAGAUUGAAACAAAUACUUAAGUGACCCAGGGAUUGUACUGUAUCUGACCUGGACACAAAAUGAAGAAUGUAUUCUCUCAUAACACCUAGGUAUGGGGAGUUCCCAUCGUGGCUUAGUGGAAAUGAAUCUGACUAGCAUCCAUGAGGACACAGGUUUGAUCCCUGACCUCACUCAGUGGGUUAAGAAUCCAGUAUUGCCUUGACCUGUGGUCUAGGUCGCAGACACGGCUUAGAUCCCUCAUUGCCAUGGCUGUCGCCCUCUGGCCUAUGCCACAGCCACAGCCACAGAAACACCAUAUCCGAGCCUCUUCUGUGACCUACAUACACCACACACAGCUCACCGCAACGCCAGAUCCUUAACCCACUGAGCGCGGCCAGGGAUCGAACCUGCAACCACAUGGUUCCUAGUCGGAUUCGUUUCUGCUGUGCCACAACGUGAACUCCUGAUAUUUUCUCUUGACUGGACUAGUUCCUCAGCCUUGGAAAACUCAGAAGCUAUAGUCGACAGGGGGCUAGGAAGGUGGUUUCUGCCCUUGAGUCUUACUAAAGGCAGUUCCACAUUUUCUUCACAAGGUAUUCUAUCCCUUUAACUGGAUGCUCCAGUUUCUUGACCUUCUCUGGUUGCAAUGAUCUGUAGCCUUAUAUUUUUCCGCCCUCUCUCUUACACUUGAUACUUCAUCUCCAAGAACAUUUGUCAUUCCUCAACAUUCUCUGAUUUUCCCUGUAGCUGAAUCUAAAUUUACAUGGAUUUUGAAUCAGAGAUGGCUUCUUGUCUGCUAAAAAACGCUCUCUGUCUUCAAGAUGUAUUUCAAAAACCACUUCUUCACCUAAAUGUUGCCAGAUUUUUAUUUUGCUCAUCCUCCAGUUUGAAUUAAUUAUUGCAUGCCUCUAUGACUUUCCUUAUUUAUUAUUUUUGUACUGAAUUUUAUCUAACUAUUGUUAGGGGUGCUCUGUUUACAUAUUGGUUUGUGAAAUUCUUGGGGCAAGUUUUAAAUUUCAUUCCUCUUUGAAUCUUUUCUGGGCCUAAUUUGGUACCACACAUAGAGAAGUUCUUCAAUAAAUAUUUGAAGUACCUUAUUGAAUUACAUGUCUCUGUGGAACACAGAAAUAACAUUUCUUCUAGUCAAUAAAUAAUAAAAUAUUUACUUGGUAGCUUUAUUUUGUAAAGAUCCAUACUAGCACUACAGAAUAGAGUUCUUUUUUUUGUUGUUGUUGAAAUUUUUUUUUUUUAAAUUUUGUGGCCAUACCCACAGCAUAUAGAAGUUGUUUUAACUUUUAUCUUUUCCUCUUUCAUUUUUAUUAAGCACCUAUUAGUUGGUGAUACUUUUUCUAGGCCCUGGAGAUAGCAAGAAUGUUUGUUCAAAUGAUUUGUAUCAAAAGCACUCAGGGGAGUUCCUGUUGUGGCUCAGCAGGUUAAGAACCAAACAUAGUCUCUGUAAGGAUGUGGAUUCCAUCCCUCAUCUCACUCAGUGGGUUAAGGACUUAGCGUUGCCCCAAGCUGCAGUGUAGGUUGCAGGUGUGGCGUGAAUCCGGCAUUGUUGUGGCUGUGGCAUAGGCCUGUAGCUACAGCUCCAGUUCAGCCCCUAGCCCAGAACUUUCAUAUGCUGCAGGUGCAGCCGUAAAAAGAAAAUAAAUAAAACACAAAUUUAUUAAAGCAAAAAAGGAGUCAGGAAGUUCUCUCAACUGCUGAGAGAUGGACAAGAUCCCAGCACUCAUUAAUGAAGGACAGCGAGUGUGAUACUGUCAGGAUAGACAUGUAGAGGAGGGUAUUAUAGAGCCGAGGAUUGUUUGCAGCUUAAAACCUUGGGAUUUAGGGCAGUACUGGAGAGGUCAAGGAGGCAUUGAGGAGGUGGGUCACUUGAGGUGAGCAUGUUUUAUGGGACGGGGCAGGAGGGCAUUAGCAGUCUGUUUCUGAAUAGUUGGAACAUGGCAGGUGGUAAUCAAGCAACCUGUUAACAUUAUUUGACGAAGUUUCCCAUAGAAGACAAUGCUCUGAGGGUCUGUUACUUUGUUCAUUCCUUUGGCUCUAUGUCCUAACACUUAAAUUUCUGAAUCCCAGGUGUAUUUAGCUUAUACAGUUGACCCUUGAACAACUGGGGGUUUAUUUGAUUGUAAUUUAUAAUUGGUCCUCUGUAUCAGUGGUUCUUCUGCAUACGAGGAUUCAACCAGCUACAGAACCAUGUAGUUCUAUAGUAUUUCUUACUGAAAAAUAUCCACCUAUAUGUGGAUUUGGGGCACUUCAAACCCAGUGUUGUUCAAGGUCAUCUGUAAUUGAAUCUUUACUGUCUAACAUAAUGACUGUCAUGUGAAAAGGGCACAGAAAAUGCUCAUUCAUUCAUUGCUUCAUAUGGAUGGAAAAUAACUAAUGGUCUGCUCCCUGCUAGGUGCUGCGGCUGCGCUGGAGAACAUGACCCUUUUGGUCCCAGGUUCCAUGAGAACUGUCUUAGUGGGGCAUUUUAGGCAAGAAACUAGUGAAUGUCAAUAGGUAGAACUGAUCUGUGGUAGCCAUGAAGGAAAUAAAUGGGCUUGUGAUUAUAGCAGUAGGCAUCUCUUUUACAUAGAUGGUAAGUGAAAAUCUCCUGGUCAUCAGGGAGAUAGAACUCCAUGCUGAAAGAGCAGGAAGUACAACCAAGAACUUGGGGUGGAAAAAAGUGCGUGGCUUGCUCUAGCAUCUUGCUGAAGACAUUGAGGCUCCAAGCAACAUAAGAUAGAUGAUGGGAAUCCUGUGAGAUGAGGUCCCAGAGGGUGGGAAGGAGACAGGCAGGAGCUAGCAUCUACAGAAUCCAGCAGGCUGUAUUAAAGAGAAUCUUAAGGAUCCUGAGAAAUCAUUAAAGGUGAGCAACAUUUACAUUUAUUUCAAGAUUUACUUACCUACACGCUCUAAAGGACCAAAGUAGGUAAUCUUAGAAGGUAUUGAGCACUCCUGGUCAUGUGGGUAGCUAUUUUUGAAAAACCUUCCUUUUGACUAUAGACUAACAUCCAUUAAGAAACUGCACAGAGGUCCUCCAUUCUCAUGGGAGUGCUGGAAGCUAAGCCAACUGGGGGAACAUCUGAUGAAUCCUUGGAGAGACAAAAGUGGAGGACAUAAAGCUGCACAAGUAGGUUUCGACUCCAGGUCUCAUUUUAAGAGUGAGCCCCCUGUGAGAGGCAGUAAUUGGCCAGCAGAGUGCGAUUGCUCCUAAUUGCCUCCCUAAUUACACAUGCCGGUGUUGGGGGCUGAAGGCCUGGUACUUUGGCAUUGUAUAUCACAGAUGACUUAUCCCUGGAGAGAUGAGGCAAAAAUAUCUCCCAGGAAUGAGCCUUUUUUUCUUUUUUUGUAGCCCUCCAGGCAGUGGGGAUGCAGAUAGGAGGAGUCCAGGGAACUAGGUUAUAUACAGGGUCUUUAGUUGGUAAGUAGAUACAAGUCAGCUCAGAGAGUACACAUCCCACCAAACCUUCUAGCUUUAAAAAAAAAAAAAAA
rnacentral:lncRNA from 1 species